rnacentral:rRNA from 1 species
CGCCUUGCCAGCCCGCUCAGAAACUCAAAGGAAUUGACGGGGCCCGCACAAGCGGUGGAGCAUGUGGUUUAAUUCGAUGAUACGCGAGGAACCUUACCUGGGCUCAAAUGUAUGUUGACGUAUUCUGAAAGGGAUACUUCUUCGGACAAUAUACAAGGUGCUGCAUGGUUGUCGUCAGCUCGUGUCGUGAGAUGUUGGGUUAAGUCCCGCAACGAGCGCAACCCUUGCCUUUAGUUGCCAGCAGUUCGGCUGGGCACUCUAAAGGGACUGCCGGUGUUAAACCGGAGGAAGGUGGGGAUGACGUCAAGUCCUCAUGGCCUUUAUGACCAGGGCUACACACGUACUACAAUGGCCGAUACAAAGGGCAGCGACACUGCGAGGUGAAGCCAAUCCCGUAAAAUCGGUCUCAGUCCGGAUUGGAGUCUGCAACUCGACUCCAUGAAGUUGGAAUCGCUAGUAAUCGUGGAUCAGCAUGCCACGGUGAAUACGUUCCCGGGCCUU